GAGGACAGAGCAUGUCGUAUUGCGAUUGGCUUGAAACCAAGUGGUGGGGGUUCAACUCCCCCUGUCCU
rnacentral:tRNA from 1 species